UACGUAGGUGGCAAGCGUUGUCCGGAAUUACUGGGUGUAAAGGGAGCGCAGGCGGGAAGCCAAGUCAGCUGUGAAAACUACGGGCUUAACUUGAAGACUGCAGUUGAAACUGGUUUUCUUGAGUGAAGUAGAGGUUGGCGGAAUUCCGAGUGUAGCGGUGAAAUGCGUAGAUAUUCGGAGGAACACCGGUGGCGAAGGCGGCCAACUGGGCUUUAACUGACGCUGAGGCUCGAAAGUGUGGGGAGCAAACAGG
rnacentral:rRNA from 1 species